GCCUGGUAACACCUUGAUUUUGGACUUCUAGCCUCCAGAACUGUGAGAAAAUUAAUUUCUGUGGUUAAAGUCACC
rnacentral:miRNA from 1 species